rnacentral:rRNA from 1 species
AUUGAACGCUGGCGGCAGGCCUAACACAUGCGAGUCGAGCGGAUGAAGGGAGCUUGCUCCUGGAUUCAGCGGCGGACGGGUGAGUAAUGCCUAGGAAUCUGCCUGGUAGUGGGGGAUAACGUCCGGAAACGGGCGCUAAUACCGCAUACGUCCUGAGGGAGAAAGUGGGGGAUCUUCGGACCUCACGCUAUCAGGUGAGCCUAGGUCGGAUUAGCUAGUUGGUGGGGUAAAGGCCUACCAAGGCGACGAUCCGUAACUGGUCUGAGAGGAUGAUCAGUCACACUGGAACUGAGACACGGUCCAGACUCCUACGGGAGGCAGCAGUGGGGAAUAUUGGACAAUGGGCGAAAGCCUGAUCCAGCCAUGCCGCGUGUGUGAAGAAGGUCUUCGGAUUGUAAAGCACUUUAAGUUGGGAGGAAGGGCAGUAAGUUAAUACCUUGCUGUUUUGACGUUACCAACAGAAUAAGCACCGGCUAACUUCGUG